GGGUACUGUCCUUUUGAAGAAAAGGCAGAUCUGGAAACCAGUUUUUCUUUCCCUACCAUCAGAUUCUAAUUAAUGUGAGCUGUGAUUCCCUUUGUGCCUAGUGAGAUGAGCAUCUGUCUUUCAGACAAUAUCUUUGGGGUAAUAAAAGGAGGAUUUGUCUGAUUUCCAGACAUGAGGAAAAGCAUUAGAUAUCCCAACUGUGGCUUUAGAUCAAACCACACUUGUUAGUUGAACUUCACUAUAUAUACAACUAAUGUUUCGGUCAUGACUCCUAUGUCUAUUUCCAAAUUAGUUCCAGACUCUGAAAGAAGAUGGCUGUGCUUUGUUUUUGCCAGAUUAAAGCAAUACAGUGAACCAAAACCAAAUACACCAACACAAGGAACAAUGUGAAAUCACAUAUUUUUACAUUUUUGAUACACCCCACCAUUAAAAAUGGCUUGUUGACCCUUUCUUUCUUAGUGUCCAUCACCCUCUUUCCUUUAUUCUGUUCUUUUUUCUUGGAUUGCUAAAUUCCUGGAACCCCAAAUAACUUUUAUUUAUUCUACAAAACCGUACUUCAACUCUUUCAUGUUCAUCCCCAAUUUACACAUUCAAACCCAUCAUCGGGAAGUGAUUAUGUUUAUAAAGAGCUUCUCGAUAACACUAGUUUUGGAGUCACCUUUGAAAUUGCAAAACACAUUUCCAAGGAGGCUUUACAUUUUAACUAAAGGAAUUAAAAUGAGGUCCUUGGACCAGUAAUACCGGUUUCUCUAAAAAUCUAGAGAUGUUUAUACAUGUAAAUCUCUCAGACUACCAUGGGAAGGGCCUCAGCAUUCUGUGUUUUAACAAACUCUCCUGAUGAUUCCCUUUAACACUGAAGUUUGAGAAUGCCUGCUCUAAGCCAUUGUUAAUCAGUAAUGCUUUCUGAGGUAAAGGCAUUUCAAACUAGCUAUUUCCCGAUUAGCUAAAUAUUCAUCUGGUAAAAUGCUAAGGAAUGAAGUAAGAGAGAUAAGUUAAUGUGGUAUAGAUGGU
rnacentral:lncRNA from 1 species